UAACAGUUUAAAUUACCACAAAUAAGAUGCAAACUUAGUUAUCAUGGUGUACUGGUCACUGUAAUAAUAGUAACUAUUUUUCAUUUCAACACAUAAAAUAAGAGUAGGACAAUGCCUAUUCAACAACCCAUUCCUAGUGCCGGAGGAAGUUUGACCACUAUCCUCCAAGUAGUUUAGAUCACAGCUGACACGAUGACCCACGUAGAAGCAGUGGAGGAUACCUUUUUCUAUCAGUUUUUGGGUCUUCAAAAGUCGGGUGAGUCAUGUUCAGCUAUUUCGUGUGCGUGGACACGCAUUUAGCUCGAAGUCAGAACCUGAAGAGAAGGUCGGCUAGCCUAGUAUGAGCAAGAAACCAGAAGGUUA
rnacentral:lncRNA from 1 species